rnacentral:rRNA from 1 species
CCUACGGGAGGCAGCAGUGGGGGAUAUUGCACAAUGGGGGAAACCCUGAUGCAGCGACGCCGCGUGAGUGAAGAAGUAUUUCGGUAUGUAAAGCUCUAUCAGCAGGGAAGAAAAUGACAGUACCUGACUAAGAAGCCCCGGCUAACUACGUGCCAGCAGCCGCGGUAAUACGUAGGGGGCAAGCGUUAUCCGGAUUUACUGGGUGUAAAGGGAGCGUAGACGGUUAUGUAAGUCUGGAGUGAAAGCCGGGGGCCCAACCCCGGGACUGCUUUGGAAACUGUGUAACUGGAGUACAGGAGAGGUAGGCGGAAUUCCUGGUGUAGCGGUGAAAUGCGUAGAUAUGAGGAGGAACACCGGCGGCGAAGGCGGCCUGCUGGACUGAAACUGACGUUGAGGCUCGAAAGCGUGGGGAGCAAACAGGAUUAGAUACCCUAGUAGUC